UACGAAGGGGGCUAGCGUUGUUCGGAAUUACUGGGCGUAAAGCGCACGUAGGCGGCUUGUUUAGUUAGGGGUGAAAUCCCGGGGCUCAACCCCGGAACUGCCUUUAAUACUGGCAAUCUAGAGUCCGAGAGAGGUGAGUGGAAUUCCGAGUGUAGAGGUGAAAUUCGUAGAUAUUCGGAGGAACACCAGUGGCGAAGGCGGCUCACUGGCUCGGUACUGACGCUGAGGUGCGAAAGCGUGGGGAGCAAACAGG
rnacentral:rRNA from 1 species